rnacentral:rRNA from 1 species
GGAUUAGCUAGUUGGUGAGGUAAUGGCUCACCAAGGCGACGAUCCCUAGCUGGUCUGAGAGGAUGAUCAGCCACACUGGAACUGAGACACGGUCCAGAUUCCUACGGGAGGCAGCAGUGGGGAAUAUUGCACAAUGGGCGCAAGCCUGAUGCAGCCAUGCCGCGUGUGUGAAGAAGGCCUUCGGGUUGUAAAGCACUUUCAGUCGUGAGGAAGGUAGUGUAGUUAAUAGCUGCAUUAUUUGACGUUAGCGACAGAAGAAGCACCGGCUAACUCCGUGCCAGCAGCCGCGGUAAUACGGAGGGUGCGAGCGUUAAUCGGAAUUACUGGGCGUAAAGCGCAUGCAGGUGGUUUGUUAAGUCAGAUGUGAAAGCCCGGGGCUCAACCUCGGAAUAGCAUUUGAAACUGGCAGACUAGAGUACUGUAGAGGGGGGUAGAAUUUCAGGUGUAGCGGUGAAAUGCGUAGAGAUCUGAAGGAAUACCGGUGGCGAAGGCGGCCCCCUGGACAGAUACUGACACUCAGAUGCGAAAGCGUGGGGAGCAAACAGGAUUAGAUACCCUGGUAGUCCACGCCGUAAACGAUGUCUACUUGGAGGUUGUGGCCUUGAGCCGUGGCUUUCGGAGCUAACGCGUUAAGUAGACCGCCUGGGGAGUACGGUCGCAAGAUUAAAACUCAAAUGAAUUGACGGGGGCCCGCACAAGCGGUGGAGCAUGUGGUUUAAUUCGAUGCAACGCGAAGAACCUUACCUACUCUUGACAUCCAGAGAACUUUCCAGAGAUGGAUUGGUGCCUUCGGGAACUCUGAGACAGGUGCUGCAUGGCUGUCGUCAGCUCGUGUUGUGAAAUGUUGGGUUAAGUCCCGCAACGAGCGCAACCCUUAUCCUUGUUUGCCAGCGAGUAAUGUCGGGAACUCCAGGGAGACUGCCGGUGAUAAACCGGAGGAAGGUGGGGACGACGUCAAGUCAUCAUGGCCCUUACGAGUAGGGCUACACACGUGCUACAAUGGCGCAUACAGAGGGCAGCAAGCUAGCGAUAGUGAGCGAAUCCCAAAAAGUGCGUCGUAGUCCGGAUUGGAGUCUGCAACUCGACUCCAUGAAGUCGGAAUCGCUAGUAAU